rnacentral:tRNA from 1 species
GCCAGCACGAGGGCCUGGGCCGCGGCGGCGCCGACGUCGUAGCGGGCGGUGAGGAAGUCGUAGACCCGGACGGCCGCGACGUCCGUGCCGGCGCC